CACCCUGCUACGAGAGCCAGGCUGCGCCGGCCUCCCGCGCCACCGCCCCACCUGCUCCCCUGCGCCGCCAUCGCCCGGAUGCGCCUCCAUCGCACACCGCACCGGUGUUGGAGGACACCGGCCGGGGGCAGCCCUGCACCGCCCUCCAAGCUCGCGAGGAUGGGCGCGCGGCUGGAUCGAAUCGAGGCGAAGGCCUCCUUCUUGCACCGUGACUUGUGGCGGCGACGGUGACCUCUGUUCCCCCCUCCCUCAACUCCCCUUCUGGUCGCCCGACGAGCUGCCCCUCCAUCCCUCGCAGUUCGCCGGCUCAUGCGUGCAGUCCACUGUGGGCAACAGCUGACCACCAUCACCGAUGAUGGAGUCCACACGCAUGCCGUACACUUGUCAUGGUCAAAGUGUGCGGCUUGCAGUUUGGCACAAGAGGGUAUGCAGUGCAGUUCAGUUCUUCGUUGGGCCGAUGUACCUCUCACUCCAUCCUAUGCGUUCAUCUCUACUCCUUGCAUGCAGUGCAAUUUUUUGUUCAUUUGCAGCUUCAGUUAGUUUCAGUGAGCUCUUGUGCGAUUUGAAUCUCCUGCAGGGAAAGAGCAGUAGCAAGCAUGUGGUAAUGUGGUUCAAUCUGCCAUGUAUAUAUGACUUGAUUGCAAUUUACUUUUUGGCCAGAUUCGCUAUAACGCGCUGGCUGGCCACCUUCCGUAGCCUCGUCGCGUCCUGCACCGACCGGAGGAGCCGCGUCCUGCAACCGUGCUCCCAUCGUCCUCCCCUAAACCAGCGUUGGUGUUUUGGCGCCUCCCCCGUGCAGCUCCGUUGUUGCCACCAUGAAGUUCAGCUAGCUCACUACUGCAGCAUGUCGCCGGCGGUGCACACUCUACACGCAUGUCGUCCACUUUGCCGAUUUUGAGGUUCGGUGUUUGCAUGCAGGUCAUCAGUUUGGUGCGGCGAGCUCUUGCAGUUCGGGCGGCACCUUGUAGUUCGGGGUGGCACUGGCCGAUGGAGCGCCACCACUCCUGCGCCACCCCUUCGACCACUCUCUAGGGCCGGUGUGCCCUGAUCCGCCCAGUUGCCUCUGUCCUACCUCGAUCCAGAUCAGGAUCGAGCGCCUCGGUAGCUGCCAGCAGAGCUUCUUCUCCCUCGCCGUUGAGCUCCUUCUCCCUCUACCGGCAGAUUGGGGAGUCGCUGGUCAACGCACCGGCUGGUGGUGUCCUACGGCAGCCGCGCUUGCAGUGCAGUUUGGCGGCGAGCACACUUGCAGUGCAAUUCGACGGCGAGCCGUCUGCAGUACAGUCCGGCAGUGCUCGCAGGCUAGCAGUGUGCAGCUUGUUUCUUUUCUUUUCGCUUCAUCUUAUUGUAAAAAAAGUUGAAUCGCCUGUGACCUUUC